AAAGAAAGUAAGUAAGGGCAGACGGUGGAUGCCUAGGCUCUCGGAGGCGAUGAAGGACGUGAUAAGCUGCGAAAAGCUUGGGGAAGGUGCAAAUAACCAUUGAUCCCAAGAUAUCCGAAUGGGGCAACCCGGCAGGUUGAAGGCCUGUCAUCCCGUACAGGGAGGCAAACGUGGGGAACUGAAACAUCUAAGUACCCAUAGGAGGAGAAAACAAAAGUGAUUCCGCAAGUAGUGGCGAGCGAACGCGGAACAGCCCAAACCGUUAUUGUUUAGGCAAUAGCGGGGUUGUAGGACCACGAUAUGGCAAGAACUUAAUCAAGUGGAAUGUUUUGGAAAGAACAGCGAAAUACGGUGAUAGCCCGGUACACGACUGGUUAACGAAGCUUAGUGGUAUCCUGAGUAGCGCGGGGCACGAGAAAUCCUGUGUGAAACAGCGGGGCCCAUCCCGUAAGGCUAAAUACUCCCGAGAGACCGAUAGUGAACCAGUACCGUGAGGGAAAGGUGAAAAGAACCUCGAACAGAGGAGUGAAAUAGACCCUGAACCCGUCUGCCUACAAGCGGUCGGAGCAUCUUAGGAUGUGACGGCGUGCCUUUUGCAUAAUGAACCUACGAGUUACUUUCUCCGGCAAGGUUAAGUUCUUCAGGAACGUAGCCGAAGCGAAAGCGAGUCUUAACAGGGCGAUUUAGUCGGAGUGAGUAGACGCGAAACCAAGUGAUCUACCCUUGUCCAGGAUGAAGGUUAGGUAACACUAACUGGAGGUCCGAAUGGUUAUACGUUGAAAAGUGUUCCAAUGAGGUGAGGGUAGGGGUGAAAGGCUAAUCAAACUUGGAGAUAGCUCGUACUCCCCGAAAUGCAUUUAGGUGCAGCCUGGAGUUAGUAUAGUAUGAGGUAGAGCGACUGAUUGGAUGCGAGGGCUUCACCGCCUAUCAAGUCCAGAUAAACUCCGAAUGCGUGCUAUAGUUAUUCAUGGAGUGAGGGCGCGGGUGCUAAGGUCCGUGUCCGAGAGGAGAAGAAUCCAGACCACCAGCUAAGGUCCCGAAAUAACAAUUAAGUUGAACUAACGAAGUCAGACUGCAAAGACAGCUAGGAUGUUGGCUUGGAAGCAGCCAUUCAUUUAAAGAGUGCGUAACAGCUCACUAGUCGAGGGGUUUGGCGUGGAUAAUAAUCGGGCAUAAAUUGUUUACCGAAGCUGUGGAUUUCGAAAGAGAUGGUAGGGGAGCAUUCUAACGGCGCAGAAGAUAAGGGAUAACCCUUGUUGGAGCUUUUAGAAAAGCAAAUGUAGGUAUAAGUAACGAUAAAGGAGGUGAGAAACCUCCUCGCCGAAAGACUAAGGUUUCCUGAUCAACGUUAAUCGGAUCAGGGUAAGUCGGGCCCUAAGGUUAAGCCGAACGGCGAUACCGAUGGAAGAAUGGUUUAAUAUUCCCAUACUACUUUAUGGAGUGAUGUGGAGACGGAGAAGUGACAGUCCUGCCGGCAGACGGAAUAGCCGGUUAAAGGGUGUAGACGUAGAUCGAGGUAGGCAAAUCCGCCUUGAGAGUCGAACCUGACAGUAUGCUGCGUGCUUGCACAAUGCAAUAUGGACGUAAACAGGCUCCCAAGAAAAUCCGCUAAACAUAAUUCAUAAAGUACCCGUACCGUAAACGGACACACGUAGUUGGGUUGAAAAUACUGAGGCGCUCGAGUGAUUCACGGUUAAGGAACUAGGCAAAAUGGUCCUGUAACUUCGGGAUAAAGGACGCCAUUCCAGAGAUGGAAUGGCCGCAGAGAAUAGGCCCAGGCGACUGUUUAACAAAAACACAUGGCUAUGCAAAAUGGAAACAUGCAGUAUAUAGCCUGACACCUGCCCGGUGCUGGAAGGUUAAGAGGAGAGCUCAGGAGCAAUCCGAAGGUUUGAAUUGAAGCCCCAGUAAACGGCGGCCGUAACUAUAACGGUCCUAAGGUAGCGAAAUUCCUUGUCGGGUAAGUUCCGACCUGCACGAAUGGUGUAACGAUCUGGGCACUGUCUCAACCGUGAGCUCGGUGAAAUUGUAGUAUCGGUGAAGAUGCCGAUUACCCGCGAUGGGACGAAAAGACCCCGUGAACCUUUACUAUAGCUUUACAUUGAGUUUGGGCAAUGGAUGUGUAGGAUAGGCCGGAGACUGUGAAGGUGGCACGCCAGUGUUAUUGGAGUCAUCGUUGAAAUACGGCCCUUCUAUUGUUUGAGUUCUAACCCGCAGAUGUGGGGACACUGUAUGGUGGGUAGUUUGACUGGGGUGGUCGCCUCCAAAAGUGUAACGGAGGCUUCUAAAGGUACCCUCAGACCGAUUGGUAACCGGUCGCAGAGUGUAAUGGCAUAAGGGUGCUUGACUGAGAGACCGACAAGUCGAUCAGGUAGGAAACUAGAGCAUAGUGAUCCGGUGGUUCCGUAUGGAAGGGCCAUCGCUCAAAGGAUAAAAGGUACUCCGGGGAUAACAGGCUGAUCAUUCCCAAGAGCUCAUAUCGACGGAAUGGUUUGGCACCUCGAUGUCGGCUCGUCACAUCCUGGGGCUGGAGAAGGUCCCAAGGGUUGGGCUGUUCGCCCAUUAAAGUGGCACGCGAGCUGGGUUCAGAACGUCGUGAGACAGUUCGGUCUCUAUCUAUCGUGGGCGCAGGAUAUUUGAGGGGUUCUGACACUAGUACGAGAGGACCGUGUUGGACAGACCACUGGUUUACCGGUUGUACCGCCAGGUGCACUGCCGGGUAUCUAAGUCUGGAUUGGAUAAGUGCUGAAAGCAUCUAAGUACGAAGCCAGCCUCAAGAUGAGAUAUCCCUGAAGGGUCGUUGUAGACUACGACGUAGAUAGGCUACAGGUGUAAGUGCAGUAAUGUGCGAGCCGAGUAGUACUAAUCGCCCGAGACUUUCAGAAG
rnacentral:rRNA from 1 species